UACGUAGGUGACAAGCGUUGUCCGGAUUUACUGGGCGUAAAGAGCGCGCAGGCGGUCGAUCAAGUCGAGUGUGAAAGCCCCCGGCUCAACUGGGGAGGGUCAUUCGAUACUGAUCGACUCGAAGGCAGGAGAGGGUAGUGGAAUUCCCGGUGUAGUGGUGAAAUGCGUAGAUAUCUGGAGGAACACCGGUGGCGAAGGCGGCAUUCUGGACCGACAUUGACGCUGAGGAGCGAAAGCCAGGGGAGCAAACGGG
rnacentral:rRNA from 1 species